rnacentral:rRNA from 1 species
GAUGAACGCUGGCGGCGUGCCUAAUACAUGCAAGUCGAGCGAACGGACGAGAAGCUUGCUUCUCUGAUGUUAGCGGCGGACGGGUGAGUAACACGUGGAUAACCUACCUAUAAGACUGGGAUAACUUCGGGAAACCGGAGCUAAUACCGGAUAAUAUUUUGAACCGCAUGGUUCAAAAGUGAAAGACGGUCUUGCUGUCACUUAUAGAUGGAUCCGCGCUGCAUUAGCUAGUUGGUAAGGUAACGGCUUACCAAGGCAACGAUGCAUAGCCGACCUGAGAGGGUGAUCGGCCACACUGGAACUGAGACACGGUCCAGACUCCUACGGGAGGCAGCAGUAGGGAAUUUUCGGCAAUGGGCGAAAGCCUGACGGAGCAACGCCGCGUGAGUGAUGAAGGUCUUCGGAUCGUAAAACUCUGUUAUUAGGGAAGAACAUAUGUGUAAGUAACUGUGCACAUCUUGACGGUACCUAAUCAGAAAGCAACGGCUAACUACGUG